GAUGAACGCUGGCGGCGUGCCUAAUACAUGCAAGUCGAGCGAACAGACGAGGAGCUUGCUCCUCUGACGUUAGCGGCGGACGGGUGAGUAACACGUGGAUAACCUACCUAUAAGACUGGGAUAACUUCGGGAAACCGGAGCUAAUACCGGAUAAUAUAUUGAACCGCAUGGUUCAAUAGUGAAAGACGGUUUUGCUGUCACUUAUAGAUGGAUCCGCGCCGCAUUAGCUAGUUGGUAAGGUAACGGCUUACCAAGGCGACGAUGCGUAGCCGACCUGAGAGGGUGAUCGGCCACACUGGAACGGAGACACGGUCCAGACUCCUACGGGAGGCAGCAGUAGGGAAUCUUCCGCAAUGGGCGGAAGCCUGACGGAGCAACGCCGCGUGAGUGAUGAAGGUCUUCGGAUCGUAAAACUCUGUUAUUAGGGAAGAACAAAUGUGUAAGUAACUAUGCACGUCUUGACGGUACCUAAUCAGAAAGCCACGGCUAACUACGUG
rnacentral:rRNA from 1 species